GCAGCCGCGGUAAUACGGAGGGUGCAAGCGUUGUCCGGAUUUCUUGGGUUUAAAGGGUGCGUAGGCGGCGCAGCAAGUCAGGGGUGAAAUCCCAGAGCUUAACUCUGGAAUUGCCUUUGAAACUGCUGCGCUGGAGUGUCGGAGGGGAUGGCGGAAUUGCUAAUGUAGAGGUGAAAUUCGUAGAUAUUAGCAGGAACACCGGUGGCGAAGGCGGCCAUCUGGACGACAACUGACGCUGAGGCGCGAAAGCGUGGGGAUCAAACAGG
rnacentral:rRNA from 1 species